rnacentral:rRNA from 1 species
GUCCUACGGGGGGCAGCAGUGAGGAAUAUUGGUCAAUGGGCGGAAGCCUGAACCAGCCAAGUCGCGUGAGGGAAUAAGGCCCUACGGGUCGUAAACCUCUUUUGCCGGGGAGCAAGGGCCGGGACGCGUCCCGGCCCGGAGAGUACCCGGAGAAAAAGCAUCGGCUAACUCCGUGCCAGCAGCCGCGGUAAUACGGAGGAUGCGAGCGUUAUCCGGAAUUACUGGGUGUAAAGGGAGCGUAGACGGUGAUGCAAGUCUGGAGUGAAAGGCGGGGGCCCAACCCCCGGACUGCUCUGGAAACUGUG